CACCAUUGGCUCCAAUGCCCGGGACCUGCAUCCUCUGCAGAGGACACGGGCACCUCCCCAGGAGCAGAGCCAACGUUCCCCGUUUGGACAAAGAGCACCACACGCUGGGAAGGCCAAGGGAAGCAAGGAACAGGGAGACGCUGGCAUGGCUGGGGCAGCGUCUCCUCAUGGUCGGGUGACACAAGCGGAUAUUCUCACUGCAGCCUCAGUGCCCUCAUCUGUGAAAUGGGAUGGCAGCCCUGCCACAGCCAUCACCAGGACAGGGAAUGCGAUGCACUGCACCUCCCUGCACACACUGGGGACCCCCAGCUUCUGGGAUGAGGGGUGUACAGAAAGGAGGAACAGGGUUCUUCCACUGAGGGCACAGCCUCAUGUCCACACACAGAAGGUGUCACAGUCUCUGUCCCUGUGCUCAACAAUGGGUCACUGGCAGAAGAAGCAGAGCAGGGAUUUGCUCACAGCACAGGAGGCAGAGGGGGCCUUGUCCAGGACCCCAUGUGACCCAGACUGCCUGGUGUGCAGGCAAGAGAGUUCCACACAAGCCUCAAAACAGUAGACUUUAACUCCAAGGAAUGAAUGCAUGGAUCUGUGGUGGAAACAUGGGGUGAUUUGGAAACAGGAUACAUUUGAGCUCUGGAAAAAAAAAAAAAAACCAAAGAA